GGAUGUGGCUCAAGCGGUAGUGUGCUCGCCUGGCAUGCCUGAGGCCUGGAGUUCGAUCCUCAGCACCA
rnacentral:tRNA from 1 species